rnacentral:rRNA from 1 species
GAAUAGGGGGGAAUUAAUAAUAAAUUAGUAUAAAAAAAAUUUUUUAUAUAAAUAUUUAAUGGGGGUUAAAGUAUUUUAUAGAAGAAAAUUAAAAAAUUUAUAGUUAAAUAGUAUUGUAAAAGAAAUUUGAAAAAUUUUGAAAUGAAAAAAUUUAUAAAAAAGUAAAUUUUAUUUGUUGUAUCUUGGGUAUCAGAGUUUAUUAAAAAGUAAUUUUUUUAAAAAUUAUUUCGAAUUUAAAGGAGUUAGUUAAUUAAAAAAAUUAAUAUUAUAUAAUUAUUUUAAAUAAUUAGUUAGGAAUGAAAAGUUAAUCGUUUUUAAAUAUAUCUAAUUUUUUUGGAAAAAAAUUUAAUUUUAAAUUAAUUUAAUUUAAUAAUUAAUUUAAUAAUUAUUAUUGAAUUUUAAUUAAAUAUUUUAGGGGAUAAGCUUUAAAUUAAAAUAUUAUAAUAUAAAUCUUAAUUAAAAGGAAAUUUUUAAAAUUUAUAUUUUUUAUAAAUUCUAAUUUAUUGUAAAUAAUUUUAUUUAAUUGAAAUUUAAUAUUAAUUUAAUUUUUUACAAAAAUGUUAUUUUUAAUAAUUGAAAAUAAGUAAUAAUGAUAAAAUUAGUAUAUAAUUAAUAAAUUUUUAAAAAUUAUUUUUAAUUAAUAAAAAAGAAUUCGGCAAAAAUUUAUAUUCACUUGUUUAUCAAAAACAUGUCUUUUUGAAAUUAAUUUAAAGUCUAAUCUGCCCACUGAAAAUUUUAAAGGGCUGCAGUAUUUUGACUGUACAAAGGUAGCAUAAUAAUUAGUCUUUUAAUUGAAGACUUGAAUGAAUGAUUUGAUGAGAUAUAUACUGUUUCUUUAUUAAUAUUAGAAUUUAAUUUUUUAGUUAAAAAGCUAAAAUUUCUUUAAAAGACGAGAAGACCCUAUAGAGUUUAAUUUUUUUUAUUUUAUAAAAUAUUUUAUAAAAUUUAUAAUUUUAUAGAAUAAAAAAAAAUUUUGUUGGGGUGAUAGAAAAAUUUAAUUAACUUUUUUUAAAAAUUUAACAUUAAUUUAUGAAUUUAUGAUCCAUAAUUUAUGAUUAUAAGAUUAAAUUACCUUAGGGAUAACAGCGUAAUUUUUUUUUUUAGUUCAAAUAAAAAUUAAAGUUUGCGACCUCGAUGUUGGAUUAAGAUAAAAUUUAAAUGUAAAAGUUUAAAAUUUUGAUCUGUUCGAUCAUUAAAAUCUUACAUGAUCUGAGUUCAAACCGGUGUGAGCCAGGUUGGUUUCUAUCUUUAUAUAAAUAAAAUAAUUUAGUACGAAAGGAUCAGUUAUUUUAAAUAAUUUAAUUAUAAGAAUAUUAAAAAUAUUUUUUU